ensembl:lncRNA
GUGCUGGUGGCGUCUGCAUUACACCUGAUCACCUCCGUGCUUUCUGGAUUUAGAUCUGGGACUGGCUCCAAAGCUUUUUGUUUGUUCCUGCAAAUAUGUAAGGCAGGACAUCUCGUUCCAGAUGGAUUUUCUCUAUUAUAACAAGCCCUGACUCAAUUCAGUCACAUACAUCAGACAAAAGAUUGAUCUGCUACAUGAUUGAGAGCCAGUCUAAGAUUAUAGAUGUAGAUCAGAUGGUCAAGAUUCGACUGGUUGGGUUGUGUUUGUCCCUGCUGGAAGAUCCUGGAACUACACAAAUAGAUGUCAGAGGAUCCUUCCUGCACAAUCAACACUUUCCUGAAGAGGAGAAGCGAUACAUCAAUUUUCCAGUGCCUGCGACAGCUGUGAUUUUCCCUUCAGAGAAAUAGCAGCGGAUGAUCCAAACAACUCCUACGGCAGACCCCAAAACUGGAAUAUCACAACAGAACAGCUCCAGUCAAAUAAUCUCUAUCGCUACAGCACUGGCAGGGCCUUAUUCUGUGCCACGGACAGCCGCUGGUAUCCAGCCAUUUUCUCCAACCAAUCUAGGAUGACAAAUAGAAAGGGCAACAGUCCCUAAUUAUAAGCAGAGAUCCAUUUUUAAAAGGACAUGAAACAGAACUGCUGGAGAGCCUGGGGUGUGAGAUCACAAAGAUAUGAAAAUCAAGAUUUUUGUUGAACAAAAUUAAGAAGUCUUGGCCUAAGGCUUCCCUCAAUGUCAAGUCAAAUUGUUGAGUUCUCACCCAUUCAAAGACCUUGAGAACCUACCCUAGUAAGAAACUGAUUUGGACCGCUUAUCACCAUUAAUGAUAAAUAAUUCACAAAAGCACGACGAAGAACCGGACUUUUGGCAGAGCACACAGAUG